CUUCAACUCUGACCCUUCUCGGUAUUGAAACCGGAAGUCAAACUGCAACCUACCGUGUGCGCGACAACAUCGCACUGGAGUAGCUGGAUAAACAGGGACAAGCCUGAAACCGGAUCUGGCGACAAAGAGGUAAUGACCGGAGAUGAGGAGAUGAAAUUCUGCCCUUCCGGCACCAUAGUGGCCGUAGAAUGCCAACGAUCUGACGGAACACCUUACUACGACACCAUGGAUAUAGUGGACUGUAACCCAGUUACUGGAGUGACAUGUGACAAUGAUGUGAACAUGGGUCAAUGCGGCGACUACAUGAUCCGUUACCAGUGCGAGCAGACGACAUUCGGCUUGCCAACCACUGCGUCCACUGCCACCCCUCCCGGAACACCAAAACUAAGCUCAACCACUUUAGUGAUGAACAGCAAUAAGGGAUCCACGGGAACAUAUGCGGUCACAUGGCUAGCCGGUCCUACGACAUUCACAUUUUCUCUGCCUGUAUGUCAAAAUAUCACUGCGCAGCCGCCUGCAAUUUGCGAGACAGUUAGUCGCUUGUCCAUGUGGAUUGAUAGGCUGCACCCUACGGUAAAUACCGACGAGCACGAGUUCAUGACCAGAGAGGAGAUCAUGCAAUUCUGUGCUUGUGGUGUAAUUAGCAAAGUCGAAUGUCAGACGACGACCGGUCAGUCACUGGCCCAGUCACCUGAUUUCGCGACGUGCUCCAAAGACAACGGUCUGGUGUGCAGCUUCUUGGAAAAUUUCCCGAUGGGCUGUCAGGAUUACAGAGUACGAUACGAAUGCCAGGAGCAGGUAUGUCAUACUCCGACCUGCACAACCCCAGACAAAACCCGGCGGCUCUAGGUCUCCGACUGCUAAUCCUCCGACAGGAGCAAGCGGUGCAUCAACUGCUCAUCCAACCACUUUCCAUGAAGCAAUACACACUCAAACAGAAACCGGGCCAGGACAGUCGCAUACCAGCACACGGCCUCUCAGUGGCAUGCAGUUCGGGCUUGCAGCUUCCGGUGUCGCAGUUCUGGCGCUCUUUGCAUUGAUUAUGAUGGUCGCUCUCUUCAAGAAGUAUCGUAAGAACAAAGUCGCUGCACGCAACGGAACUGAGGAGAUUCUUUAAUCGCCGUGUUUCCAUAUCAAUUUCAUAGUACUGAACGGUAAAAUCAAGGUCGGGGCUUCACUAACAAUUAAAAACAAGUGAUGCGAUAAGACAUUUUAGAAAAUAAUAGGUUUCUCUUACCCGCCCGUACUCAAGAAAAAAAAUGUUCAGACCAAAACAAUAUAUCUAAUCGCUUAAUUUCUGAAUAGGGUUCUUAUAGCUAAUUAGUGUGGCAUCUGCGUACGAAAUAACAUUUUGUGUAUUUAGCAAAAAGUAAUGAUUCUGAUGGUCGAUGUGUGCGUUUCGAAACUUUGUCUCGAAAGUUUAAGUAUACCCGACUGUUUUGUCUAUGUUCUGAAAUAUUUUGACAUAUGUUUUUUCUAUUCAAGAACUUAUUUUCAAUCAUCAAUGCAUAUAAUCUACAUGUUAUUAUUUUCCUAAUAAAUAAGUUAAAUGAUAAAAUCUAG